rnacentral:tRNA from 1 species
UUUUAAAGGAUACAAGU